rnacentral:rRNA from 1 species
GAUGAACGCUAGCGGCAGGCCUAAUACAUGCAAGUCGGACGGUAUCGCGUUUUCGGACGCGAGAGAGUGGCGCACGGGUGCGUAACGCGUAUGCAACCUGCCCCAUACUGCGGGAUAGCCCGGGGAAACCCGGAUUAAUACCGCAUGUUACCCUGGCCGGGCAUCCGGUUUGGGUCAAAGAUUCAUCGGUAUGGGAUGGGCAUGCGUAGGAUUAGCUUGUUGGCGGUGUAACGGACCACCAAGGCGAUGAUCCUUAGGGGUUCUGAGAGGAAGGUCCCCCACACUGGCACUGAGACACGGGCCAG